rnacentral:rRNA from 1 species
UACGAAGGGGGCUAGCGUUGCUCGGAAUCACUGGGCGUAAAGCGCACGUAGGCGGACUCUUAAGUCGGGGGUGAAAUCCUGGAGCUCAACUCCAGAACUGCCUUCGAUACUGGGAGUCUUGAGUUCGGGAGAGGUGAGUGGAACUGCGAGUGUAGAGGUGAAAUUCGUAGAUAUUCGCAAGAACACCAGUGGCGAAGGCGGCUCACUGGCCCGAUACUGACGCUGAGGUGCGAAAGCGUGGGGAGCAAACAGGG